rnacentral:rRNA from 1 species
AUGCUGCAUCUUGACCCUCAAUCGGUGACUCUUCUUGCUGUCUUCGCCUUUGUGUGCGAAGCCAUGGUGGGUACCGCUCCUUCGGUGGCCCUCCUCCGCCGUUUCUUCUCACUGCACCUGGCUGACCCUCAGCAGUGCUCGGGGUGCGUGAGCUUCCAGGCCGUGGCCGCAAUGGAGGGCGCGGGGAUUUACUUUGAGCUCCCUUCAUCCACGAGAGAGUUUCGUACACGAUGGGUGUUUGUCGAUGCCGGCGUGCUCAGCCCUCUGCUUCAUGCUCCGGCGGGGCCUGCUGUUCCAAACUCCGGCUGGGGCCACCAGAAGCUCAUGAGCCCCCGCCUCGCUCCCGUCUGGGCUAGGCUAAGGAGGUUGAAGGACCGCGGCGUGACCGCGCCUAUGGUGGUGAAGGAGUUCGUCAAGCCCCGAGUCGCACCGCUUCAGCGCCAUUCCUGCCUGAUGUGA